rnacentral:lncRNA from 1 species
AAUGCUGCUUUAAAGCCUCAUUUCUGAGGUUGUUUCAGUCCUUCUAAAUUUGUUUUAAUUUUUUUUUUUUAACAGGCAGAGGGACAGAAACAUAAUCUGGAUAAGAAUAAUUUUUGAGCUGUUUAUCUCCAGCAAGGUUGGGUGCCUGCCCAUCACUGGCUGCAAAGUGUGGAAGUGGCAGUUUUUGAGAGAUAGCUCUUGCAUUAUCAGCACAGCUAUUGACUCCCUUCCUUUUAUGCCUAAAAAAGGAAAAAGUUUUCUCUUUCAUGCUAGGCAAUGAGCUGCUGGUGAAGCCACAGAGCAGAAAAUCAGACACAGUAACUAGCAGCCAAGCCAGCUGCUAACUCAAGUGAAAAUGCAAGCCAGCUAGCAAGAGCUGAACAUUGCAGCAAGAGAGGUAAGUGCCCAGCAACUCCAUGAGAAUACCAAUGGGAAACAUUUGUUCUUGAUUACUAGGCAGAUGUUAAGGGAUUAAUGUGAAA